UUGAUAUCCCGCUAAACAUCACCUGUGAAUCCUACAAUGCCAUAUUUACGGGUCUCGACCAAAGUUUGGAAUCUCUUCCGCCUCACCUCUCACAGGGUGUAAAGUCAAGCUUGGAUGCACUGAUGAAGACAUUCCAACGUUGCUCAAGGCCUCCAGCUUUAAUUGUGUGCAAAGAAACAUUGGUCAAUGAGAAACAACUUUGUGCUGGAUUUAACAGCACACAACUGAAGCAACAAAUGUCGAUUGGGAAUCUCAAUGAAUCCCUUUGCAAUUUCAACAUCUCUGAAUAUGCCUGUUCCUCAACAACCCUUCUGUCAGCGGACAACUUGGUGACGAUCCUGAA